rnacentral:rRNA from 1 species
UACGGGGGGUGCGAGCGUUGUCCGGAAUCACUGGGCGUAAAGGGCGCGUAGGUGGUUUGAUAAGGGUGUGGUGAAAGCCCGGGGCUCAACCCCGGGUCUGCCGUGCCGACUGUCAAACUCGAGGGCUGUAGAGGCAGACGGAAUUCCGGGUGUAGCGGUGGAAUGCGUAGAGAUCCGGAGGAAGACCGGUGGCGAAGGCGGUCUGCUGGGCAGUUUCUGACACUGAUGCGCGACAGCGUGGGGAGCAAACAGG